CAAAUGAUGAGUUUGACGCUGUCGUGUGAAUGCCGGUGGAAAAGCCUUGUUUGUCUCAUUCUGUGUUCCACACUCAUCUUGGAAGAACUGACACAGCUCAAACUCUGGCUGGCCCCAUUUCCAUGACUUUGUUGGGAAGUUACCCAGGGGACCACAGAACAUGCUGUCUUUUCACACUUCGCAUUUUCAUCAUCGAGGAUUAUUUUAAAAUCUGACGAUAAGUCGCCUGUGGAAGUCUAUCCUGUCACCUCCGUGUGGGUAUCACAAUGAUUCAAAACAGACUUCACAACAAUAAACACAGGACAAACAAGU